GCGAGCGUACAAUGCAGUCGAGCGGAGCGAGGGUGCUUGCACCUUAGCUUAGCGGCGGACGGGUGAGUAAAGCUUAGGAAUCUGCCUAUUAGUGGGGGACAACAUUCCGAAAGGGAUGCUAAUACCGCAUACGCCCUAAGGGGGAAAGCAGGGGAUCUUCGGACCUUGCGCUAAUAGAUGAGCCUAAGUCGGAUUAGCUAGUUGGUGGGGUAAAGGCCUACCAAGGCGACGAUCUGUAGCGGGUCUGAGAGGAUGAUCCGCCACACUGGGACUGAGACACGGCCCAGACUCCUACGGGAGGCAGCAGUGGGGAAUAUUGGACAAUGGGCGGAAGCCUGAUCCAGCCAUGCCGCGUGUGUGAAGAAGGCCUUUUGGUUGUAAAGCACUUUAAGCGAGGAGGAGGCUACUAGUAUUAAUACUACUGGAUAGUGGACGUUACUCGCAGAAUAAGCACCGGCUAACUCUGUGCCAGCAGCCGCGGUAAUACAGAGGGUGCGAGCGUUAAUCGGAUUUACUGGGCGUAAAGCGUGCGUAGGCGGCUUUUUAAGUCGGAUGUGAAUCCCCCGAGCUUAACUUGGGAAUUGCAUUCGAUACUGGGAAGCUAGAGUAUGGGAGAGGAUGGUAGAAUUCCAGGUGUAGCGGUGAAAUGCGUAGAGAUCUGGAGGAAUACCGAUGGCGAAGGCAGCCAUCUGGCCUAAUACUGACGCUGAGGUACGAAAGCAUGGGGGAGCAAACAGGAUUAGAUACCCUGGUAGUCCAUGCCGUAAACGAUGUCUACUAGCCCGUUGGGGCCUUUGAGGCUUUAGUGGCGCAGCUAACGCGAUAAAGUAGACCGCCCUGGGGGAGUACGGUCGCAAGACUAAAACUCAAAGGAAAUUUGACGG
rnacentral:rRNA from 1 species